CUGCUGCCUCCCGUAGGAGUUUGGGCCGUGUCUCAGUCCCAAUGUGGCCGUCCGCCCUCUCAGGCCGGCUACUGAUCGUCGCCUUGGUGGGCCGUUACCCCGCCAACCAGCUAAUCAGACGCGGGUCCAUCCCGUACCACCGGAGUUUUCAAGAAAGGAACAUGCGUCCCCUUCUGUUAUGCGGUAUUAGCACCUGUUUCCAGGUGUUAUCCCCCGGUACGGGGCAGGUUCCCCACGCGUUACUCACCCGUCCGCCACUAAGGCCCGCGCCUUCCGGGUCUGGUAAACCA
rnacentral:rRNA from 1 species